CAACCCUUAAGCCCCUGUUGCUUAGCGUUGGGAAUCUACCCUGUACAAGGGGUAGUUCCUGAAAACCAGUGGCGGUGUUAGGUACACUCGUAGCGUAGUAAUUUGUUCUCGCUUCUGCAGUGGCCCUGGCUACCGGCCGUAAAACCCCUAAAUUUUCUAAUGG
rnacentral:misc_RNA from 1 species